UUUUUGAGAAAUGAUGGUAAGAUUUAAUACUCAAAAGGGUCUGGAAUGGAAUGGUUACAUUCUUAAGUGCUGGGAACUACUAGGAAAAUUUUGCAUUACACAGAAAAGCUGAGCUGAUACCCAUUGAGGUGGAGUCCCAAGUUUAGAAUAACAUUGAUAGCAACGAUAAAAAUCACUUUGCCGUGUGGUUCCCGGCACCAUUACAAAAGAAUAGGACCACUCCAUCUCUUUCCCACGGAUGUCGUAAGAGCCGACUAAGGGAUAGACUUGGGAUUCCUCUUUAAUGUAAAUCCCUGCCAAUCUAAGGUCUGCCGCGCCGAUGGAUGCAUGGCUAGGGGCGAGCCUAGUCUCGAGCGUGCCACUUCCGCCAUGGGGUUGGGCGACCCCCAGGUAAUGGCUAGCCUUACCCUGGCAUGCGGGGCUCUGCUGGGGCGGACAAAAUUUUUCCCUAGCGUCUCGUGGGAAUCGCAUGGAUGCAAAUUUUUUGAAAGAGCACCUAGAUGGCGGCGAUGGUGUCCGCACCCCAUCACGUCUCGUUCCCGGCGGGAGCGGUAUGCGGUCUGCUGAAAGCCGCUUUGCGACGAUGAAUGUAAGAGGAGGAAUGAAGGAUAAGAUUGAGGAAGUAUGCCAGAUGAUGGAUGAAAGACGUUUGGAUGUGUUGUGCGUGAAUGAAACGAAGCGGAAAGGAUGCGACGCGACGCAGCACGGCCCUUACACGGCGUAUUGGUCUGGAAUUUCCAGUACCAGCCGAGGCUGUCAAGGGGUCGGUCUAAUUCUUUCUGCACGAAUGGCUGAGUGCGUGAAUGAGUAUGAGUGUGUCAGCCCUCGUCUUCUAUGGAUUAGGCUGAAAGUUGGAAUCACUCGGAUCUUCGUUCUAGGUGUUUAUGCACCUUGGGAUGUGGGUUCGAGGGGUACAACAUCAGCAAAAAGCGAAAACGAGGAGUUCUGGAAUAGUGUAAGAGAAGUAUUGAAAGUUACCAAGCCAAAUGAGAAGAUUAUUAUGUUAGGUGAUUUUAAUGGAUGGGUGGGUGUAAAGCGUGAUGGAUAUGAAAAGGUGCUUGGUGCGUUUGGUGACGAAAAGGUGAAUGAUAAUGGAAGAAGUGUAUUAGAAAUUUGUCUAGAGUGGGAUCUUUUUGUGUCGAACUCAAUGUUUCAACAUAAAGAGAUCCACACCUACACAAGAGUGGAAGGUAUUUUAAAAAGUAUGAUAGACUUUGUGAUUGUAGAUGAAAGAUUGAAGAACAAAGUGCUGGAUACCCGUGCAUAUCGCGGUGCUGGCAUUGACUCGGACCAUUUACUGGUGAUAUCCCGGAUAAGGGGUAUCUUCAAUCGCUGGCGGCACAGGGUAAGGGAGCAAACCAGCGCUUUGGAAAGAGUAAAAGUAGAAAAUUUGCAAGAUAUGGAUGUAGGUAAGAAGUAUAUUAAUAGACUGAAGGAUGAAUUUGAAGAUUUAGAGGAAAUGAGCGAUAUUGAAGAUGGAUGGAAGGAAUUUAAAGAAAGAAUUGUGAAAGUAGCUGUUGAAGUGUGUGGUGUAAGUAGAAGAAGGAAAGGAAAAAAUCACAAAAAUGCGUGGAUGAGUAAAGAUGUGCAAGAACUUGUGCGAUUAAAGAAGAAAGCAUGGCUGGAUUUGUUAGCAGCAAAAGCUAACUUAAGAAUGCAAGAGGUUAUAGAUGAAGAUGUGAAUGAAGCACGUAAGGAAUAUAAGAAAAUGAAAGAUUUGGUUAAGAAAGCUGUGAUUAGAAAGAAAGAAGAGUAUAAAGAGGAUUUUGAUAAAAGGCUAUCAGAAGACUUUCAGUCAAAUCUGAAAGUAUUCUGGAAAUCCGUAAGGUCAGCCCGAGGAAAUACUAUAACCAGAGAGCUGACUAGGAUCAGAUGCCAGGAUGGUAGCGUUGUGAAAGGAGAAGAAUGUGUACUAAAGAUAUGGAAGGACUAUUUUGAAAGUUUAUUUGAAAAAAAGGAAGGAAAUAAGAAAGAUUUCUGCUAUAGCGAAGAAAAAGAGAAUGAGAUGGAAGGCGAAAUUGAAAUGUUCGAAAUUGUGGAAGCACUUAAGAGUAUGAAAGCGGGAAAGGCUGCUGGGUGUGAUAGAGUGUCGGUCGAGAUGCUUAAAGCAGGAAAAGGCGUAGUAGCUAGUCAGUUGUACUGCCUUUUCAAUUUGUGUUGGAGAAGCGGCCGAGUACCAAAAGAUUGGUGUAAGGCUGUUAUCGUGCCACUUUACAAAGGAAAAGGGUCACAGCUGGACUGCAAAAAUUAUCGUGGUAUAAGCCUGCUUAGCGUCGUCGGCAAAUUGUAUGCUAAGGUAUUGAUUAAUAGAGUCAGGAAUGAAACUGAUGACAAAAUAUGGGAUGCUCAAGCGGGAUUUCGAAAGGGAAUGGGAUGUACUGAUCAGGUCUUUUCCUUGCGGUGCAUAGCCGAAAAGUUUUUGGCCAAGAGUCAAAAAGUCUAUUGCACAUUCGUAGAUCUGGAAAAGGCCUAUGACAGAGUUGAGAGGAAUGAAUUGUGGUCAGCACUUUCUAUGCAUGGGGUGAGCAGUCUCUUAAUACGAGCACUGAAAUCCUUAUAUGAGGAUUCGAGUGCUUGUGUCAGGAUAAACGGAGCGCACACUGAGUGGUUUAAGAUUGAGAAAGGCGUUAGGCAAGGAUGUGUUGCGUCACCGUGGCUGUUCAACCUAUUUAUGGAUAGCUGUUUGACAGAUUUGAAAGAGUCUAAAAGUGGAUUAAGGAUGAAUGAGUUACUCGUCAAAUGUCUGCUCUAUGCCGACGAUCAGGUUAUACUGGCGUCAUCAGCGGAGGAGUUACAGGAGAUGGUAAACUGUAUGCAUGAAGCUUUAAAAGAGAAAGGAAUGAAAGUGAACGUAAGUAAAACUAAAACACUGGUUUUUGAAAUGGAGAAAGAAAUGACAGCAUGUAAUAUUUUGAUUGGAGGAGAAAAGUGGAGCAAGUGAAAGAGUUUGUAUAUCUAGGAUCAAAGUUUACAUCAGAUGGCAAGUAUGAUAGUGAUAUUGAAAGGAGAGUGAACGCGGGGAACAUGGUGAAUGGAGCUUUGCAUGCCUUUAUGAGCAGUCAGAAACUAUCCAAAAAGGCUCGACUGGCUGUGCACAGGGGCGUGUUGGUCCCGACAUUAAUGUAUGGGAGUGAAAGUUGGGUAUGGCAAAAGAAGCAUGAAAGCAGAAUAAAUGCAGUGGAAAUGAGAGCGUUAAGGAGUAUGAUGGGUGUGAAAUUGAGUGACAGGAUAAGGAACAGCGUGAUAAGGGAAUGUUGUGAUGUGAAAGAAGAUGUAGUUACAGGAAUAGAAAAGGGUAUGUUAAGAUGGUUCGGUCAUGUGGAGAGGAUGAAUGAAAGCAGGUUGACUAAGCAGAUAUACAAGGAGAGUGUGGAGGGAAAGGUCGGAGUGGGAAGACCUAGACGAACGUAUCUUGAUCAAAUUAAGGACGUCCUGGUAAAGGGUCAGGUCAAAAGUACCCGAAACCGCCGAGCUUGUAUGAAGAGAGUUAUGAAUGUGGACGAAGCGAAAGAAGUAUGCAGAGAUCGUGGCAAGUGGAAAGAGGUAGUCUCUGCCUACCCCUCCGGGAAAGAGGCGUGAUUUUAUGUAUGUACGUAUGUAUGUAUAAAAAUCACUUCCUGAUGUAAUGAAAUUGUAAAAUUAUAGAUAUUCAAAACCAAGGCGAUUGCCUUGGCGAAAUCACAGCAUUUAUAAAAAAGAUAAGAUUAGUAGAACAAUUUUUGAUAGUACUGAUAAAUGUAUUAAUCAAGACGUCAAUGGAUAUUUGGUUCACGAAAUGUGUUACUCAUCACAAUUAACAUAAAACUGUUUUGCAAAUUUUGCUUAAAAUAAAACAACUUCCUAAGAUAUUCAAUAUAGUUUUUGUACAUAGAUUUUUCAUACGAAUUGAAAGUUAGAAGAUAUGUGACCAUAAAAUAAAUUUGUUUAGAGCAAAAUUUUAAGACUCGGCCUGGAUCCUUUCCCGAAGCAAGAAGCUGGAAGGUGACACGAAGACAACUGUUGAAAACUUCCUGAAGGCCAAUUUUAAGGACAUUGACGCUACAAAAUUGGUGAAGACCGACUUCUCUGAGGAGGCUUGU